GGAGUUACCAUGGUCUGUAGCUCCCAAUACAUUUAAUAUAAAUGUUGUGUUCAGCUUGUAUAAUAUGCUUUGGAAAUUUGAAAGAAUUGUAAUUAAUAGCUAAUAAAUAAACCAAGCAUAAAUAUCAUUUAAUUUUACAUUACAAAAUAGAUGAGUUGCCUGUGCCUUAAAAUGAUCAAAUCCUAGCAGUUCUUUAUUUACUGCAUUUCAGAAUCGAUAUCAAAUACAGAGCUAACUGUUCAACAAGCACAGGACUCUUCGGCCACACUACGAGGCUCAGUGACUAUUAACUGCUCAUAUAAUUACUCUGACGAAAUAGCCCCUCUAUGGAUUGGGAUCUACUGGAGAUUGGGCAGCCCUACUGGUGAUUAUGUGUAUGAUCCCUCACAUAGGCUGAUCAGUCCUACUUACAAAGGAAGGACAGACCUGAGAGGGCAGGCGGAUCUUUACGUACAGAAUGUGCGAGAAACAGACAAUAAUACAUUGUAUUACUGCUUGGUGAUACUCCGGGUCUGUGUUGGAACUAACAAAUAUGAAACAUUUACUGUUCAUGGAGCUGGAACCAGAUUAAUAGUCUCAGGUA